UAUGUCAGCAUAGUGUGUUCUCUGCUGUAGUGCUGAAAGCAACUAUCUCAGCUACUUGAGGCUUGUUCGUACCUCAAAACACACAGGCCUGCUUAUAUUUGAAUUGUCAAAUCUUGUAUUUGCUGGUUUAGUUGGUGAUUUGAAGGGGCCUUUUCCAGUAACAACAGAAAGAGAUUUGAAUGCUCUUACUUUAACUACAGAUAUUUUCUUAUACAUAGUUCGAUGAUGCAGAAGAUCCAUAUGGCUGAUCAUGAAUAGUUUGGACAUCAUGGCUUUUGUUAUUAUUGUGGUUGUUUGCACUUGCUGGUUUUAUUGGCAAAUUCUCACUGAUCUAGGCUUUUUUUUUCUUCAUUAAUGAUAUUUAGCUGACGCCACAUAUAAUUUUUUUAACUGUAGUUGAAGUUAUUUACAUGACCAAUCUUUCUCAUAAAUUAAGUUCCUUUAUCAGCAUAGAACCAAAUAAACUAGUAGCAUUUCUUGAUUGAGGCAGUUUUCUUAUCUCUUUAUUCAUUUUUCAGAAAAUUUAUUGCCUUUCUCUGGUCUUCCAGCUAUGUUUUUUUUUUUUUUUUGUCAAGUUGCUCAUCAUCAUCAACAAUGCCCUUUUUAGCAUGUUGAACCUUACAAAUUACCCUUGUUAAAUAAUUAAACAGUGUCUUUUCUGCUUACCAGUCUUGCUAGACUUUUAACUAGAUCAUCUCUUUACAUUCUUGAUGAAAUGGAUCAAUUACUCUGGUAGUUCUCAUUUGAAAUGUUUCAGGUUUUAGUUGUAGGACAUUAGUGAAUCUGAUGUUAGAGAAAACAUUAUGCAUCUUCCACUUAUUCUGAAUUCUGUAGUACCAUUAGCAAGUCAUUGAUGUUCAACCUAUAAGUAUAAACUUGAGUAUCGUCUGUAUACGAUCGACAAUGUAAAUGCCUAUGCCACUCUUAUGCAGCAUAUUUGAUGAAGAUACAUUUGAUAUGGUUUUUAAAUUGCUACAGGAAUAUAGGAUGCUUGGUAGUGUCUAAACCCACCAACUACAAUAUAAAAAUAAGUGGAAGAUAGUGUCUGUGCUCUGGUGUUAUAUGAUGCCAGUAUUUUAGUGGUGGAGAAUUGCUCUGAUGUGAGCAUUUGAAUGAGUAACGAAUUAUAGGUACUCGUUAUCAACUCUCAAACACCAUUUAGAGACUUAUCUCUGGAAGAAUUGGCUGAUUGGAAUUGAAUGCAUGUGGAUUAACACAAGUGGUAUAGGAAUGCUGUCUGAGACAAAUGAUUAGUUGAAAGUUUUCAAUAUCCUUGAUUGGAGGCAGAAGUUGAAUUUGGACUUGGAGAGGGCAGAAAUAAGACUACUUUUCUUGUAUUUUUCUGCAAACAGUAGGUGAUACUGCCUCAAAAGACAAUGUUUUUCGUGCACAAGAGGCUCUUUUGCCUUCUCUCAUGUAACAAGUCCACCGUCCAUGUUUCUUCCUAUCAACUCUGCAGUCUGUUUAGCUUUUCCACUGCCGAAGAGCACAGUUCAAAUCAUGGAUCCAACUUUACGUUGGUCGACCCCCUUGAGUCAUGUGAACUUUCCUCAAAAGAGGCUGCAAAAAGGGCCAAGGAUCGCAUCUGUGAAAAAGAACUUUCAAGUUCAAGUCCUUCCAUUGAGUUCUUCAAGCAGAGCGGUUGGAGUGAUCCACUAGUCAUGAAGCUUUUGCAGAGGGAACCCAGGCUUCUACGUGCUAACGUAGAGACUAUCCUGAAGCCCAGGAUGAGAUCUUUGCAGGACAUGGGAUUUUCUGACACUGAAAUAGUUCAGCUGGUUUCAUCAUGUCCGUGUCUGCUCUAUUUACGUGAUAUCCAACCGAGGAUCGACUUCUGGAGGUCACUACUUGGUUCUAAUGAGAGAUUAAUUAAAGCCAGCAGGGGGAACAUGUUUCUCCUUACUUCUAGCGUGGCUCGAAAGGUUGAGCCCAAUAUAUCUCUCUUGAGGGAAUGUGGCAUCAGUGAGCAAUGCAUCACGCAGAUGGUGGUGGCAGUACCGAGUUUUUUUUGUCGAACGAACAAAUGUAUCGACGAAUCUAUCAAACAUGUUGAGGAGUUGGGUGUGUCACGUGACUGUAAAAUGUUCCCUGAUGCACUUUUAAAUGUCAUGACCCUGAGCUGGUCUAGGUUUCAUGCUACUUUUGCUACCCUGAUGAGCUUUGGGUGGUCCCAACCAGACAGUCUUGCUGCAUUCAGGAGGUAUCCAGUCAUUUGGAAUUACUCAAAGAAGAACUUAUGUGACAAGAUGACAUUCCUGAUGAAGGAAGCUGGUUGUGAGCUGACAUAUAUCGUUGGUCAUCCCGUGCUUCUUACAUAUAGCUUGGAGAAGAGGUUGAGACCUCGAUAUGAAGUUAUGAAUUUUCUUUAUCAGAAUAAAUUGCUGGAUAAAGGACAUGACCUGCUAUCUGUCAUCCUGCUCUCUGAAGAGAAGUUCAGAAACAAAUUCCUUUUCCUGCUACGCAACGAGAAAUUUAUUGCUCAAUAUGAUUCCUAUGUUGUUGCUGUGCAGGGAAAGCAUGACGUUAUUGCGGAAAACUAGGAUUGCAAGUGCUUCCUUAAGACAAAGUAUAACCUAUUGCAUGCUGACUGCAAAUUAAACACUUUAUAUUUGUGACAAUUUAAAUUCUGCAAGAGUUUCUUGGAGUAUUAACUUCCAUGUUGAUUUGGUGAUUGUUCUAUUUAUGUUUUCUACAACAAAAGGUACUCGUUCUUUUAUGCUGAUGUCUCAGAAAUUGGUGUGGGGGAAAGUCAAUUACUUAAGAAAGGUAACCAAAAUAUCAAGCUUCUGUGUUCUGUUUCUAUCAUAUUUACCUGAUUCUGGCAGCCAUAUUGAUUACCGUGCUGUCAUUUAGAUGAUUGUGAUCUAAUUUAAUAAAGAUACCUUCCUUUUGAAUGGGGACAUCUCAAAGAAUUAUGUAAGAGCCGCUUGGACGGAAAAUACUUUAAAGGCAACCGCAGAUGUGGAAAUGACUAUAACAUUUUUGUUGUAGUCAUCCACAGUCGCUCAUUAAAUAAUUAAGUCCAGUUUAACUGUUUAAUCGAACGCAUUAAACAGCCGAUCUAUAUUAAGUUUGAUACACAUCUGUAUUGUUAUAUAAUUAGAUUGUGUGUUUUACUUUGCUUGUGCGAUCUAAUAGACCCAACGUGGCUCCCGUGUUUUGUUUUAUUUAACUAUUAACGCCCAUGCAUUUUGGAUCAUUUAUGUUUAUGUUUGAAUUCAUACCCAGAAUGAUUAUUGAAUUUGAGCUUCAUUGGGUGCAUAUCUAUUUUUUUGAUAAUAAUAGUUGAAUUAUAUUAAGAGAACAAUUACGAGGUAGUUAAUAAAAUGAACACAUCUAUGGCAUAUAUCUACAGUAAGUUAUGAAGCUUCUUUUUUUUUUAUUGUAAUGUUGUAUUAUCAUUUUAGUGUCUGAAAUAUAAGAAACAGUAUUAUUAUUUUUUAUAAUAUGUUUAGUUGACAAAAUUUUAAUUUAACUAAAGAUUCUAAGAGGAAAGAUUCAAAAGAUUGGAUAGAGAAGAUUAUUGGAUGGUUGUUGAGCGACUACGGAUUAUAAGCUGAAAAGUUAAGAUUAUUUUCAGAAGUUCCGAAAGAAUUUAAAAGAUAUCUGUUGCUAUUCUUUAUAAGAAUAUAUAAACAUCGACUACUAAGAAUUCAAGAUAAUAGUAUAUGUAAUUUUUGCUUCGAUUAUGUUAUGAAACUUCAUUUUUUUCUUAUAAUGUUGUUUUAUCAUUUUGGUGUCUUCAACAUAAGCAAUAGUAUCAUUAUUUUUUUAGUGAUAUGUUUAGUUACUAAAAUUUUAACUUUAUAAAAAAUUCUAAGAGGAAAGACUCAAAAAAGUGAACAAAAUAUAUUGUUGGAUGGUUGUGGGGGAACUAUUGAUUAUAAAUCAGUAAUGAUGUUAUGAUGUUGAAGAGUGUAAACUUCUUUUUAAAAAUUCUGAAAAGACAUAAAAGAUAUGUAUUUGUAAGAUUUUGGAUUAUAAAAAAAUACAAAUGGAAUUUAUAUUUUUCAGCAAUAGUUUUUGAACCAAACAACUUUGAAUAAUUAUCUUAUUGAAUUGUUUCUCAGCACUUACGUAUUUUUUAUCAUGGGAAGGAUCUAUUAAGUUGCAGCAUCAUCAGGCCUCAACAAAAAUCAUCUAUAUUUCUGUAAGGUCGAUAAAGUCAUCAUAUAAGUAAGAUACUUGAAACUGAUUAUGACAGACUACUUCUAUUGGGAUGCAUAUGUAAAUUAUGACAGACUACUCCAAAAUAGACCCAAAAUCUCAAUGUAUUUAGUUAAGUAUAACUAGUCCUAACUAAAUCACAACUGAUUUAUUGUGACGGGUUUGAAUCACAACUGAAUCAAUGCAUUUAGUUAGGUAUAAAUAUGACCGGUUUGAAUUGAAUCAAACAGGUUCGUUGAUUGCAAAUCAAAUCGUAAUCUACCAGGGGUAAUUUAAUUGAGGUUUCUAGGUUUGAAAAAUUAGAAUCAAUGAUCCCAUAAUUGAUUAUUCCGCUUCCUAUUUAAACCAUCUAUUUGAUGGUGUUCUAUAUAGAUAAAAACCUCGAUCAGAUAGGUUCUCGAUGGAUAAUUGGGCUUAAACAAUUGGGCCCAAUAGUUGGACCAACAAUCGAAUGAAUGUCAAAUUGGUUAUAUUUAGGGAUACUUUAGUUAUUUUAUAAUUAAAAAUAUUAAAAAUUAGAAAAUAAAUUAGUCCUUCCAAUAAGCAAAUAAUAGCUAGUUAUGAAGAUAUUUUAGGAAAAAAAAUUUAAAAAUCCUAUAGAUACCCCAAAAAUCUUUUAUUUUUUUCCAGAUUACUUGUUGAAGGUUGAACGGUUUGAUGCUCUUUUCUUAAUCCGAUGGCAAGUGGAAGCUAUCACUUUACCACCUAAGAGGCUUUUGGAAAUUUGAUAUUGGUAAUUCAAGAAAACCAACGUAUCAAUGUUGAUGUUAAGAUGUUGAUAUGAUGGCUUUUAAAAAUAUAAGAAGAUAUGAUGACCAAACUCAAGUUAGACAUCUUCUAAGUUAUACUUUAAAAAUGUCUGAAACACUGAUGGCUCCUUCCAUAUCAUAUGUAAUUAUUGAGAUCAAAUUUUUAAAUAUAAAGAAGGAAGAGGAUAUAGAAUAUUUUGAAAGAAUAUUACGAAGAAACAUCCAUCACAAGUUAGUACGGUGAAAGUCAAAAGUAAAUUUUCAGAUACCCUACUAAUCUCACUUUUUGUUAUUCUAUUAAAAAAAUUAUGAAACAUUAGCUAUAUUUAUUUUUGUUAAAUAUUUAUUUUUUUAGUUUUGGUGAACAAGUUGGAUUUAUUGAUUAUUAUCAAUAGGCUUUAAAUCAUAUCACAUAAUGAAUUUUCAUAUCACUCUUGCUCGCACUUUAUAUAAUCUUUAUAAAAAUAAUUAUCAUGUUUUUAUUUAUAUUGAUAUUUGGAGUUCAAAUGUACUCAUAAUAUUGUUAUUGGAUUGAUAGUGAUUGGACCAUGCAAAAUAAAUUAUUGCUUUUAGAGAAGUUCAGAAAGAAAUUUCUUUUCCUGCUAGGCGAGGAGAAAUUUAUUCCUCUAUAUGAUUCCUAUGUUGCAGCUAAUUCAGAGACUUAAAUUUGAGCUACGUUGUUGGUUGUAUCUCUAAUUUUUUUUAUAGUAACAGUUUAAUUGGUUGUAUCUCUAUUUUUUUUAUAUAGUAACAGUUUAUUUGUAUUAAGAGAACAAUUAAUAAUAUGCACACAUCUAUAUCUCCUAUUAAGCAAGCUAUUUUAUUCUUGUGAAGUUAAUGAAAAAAAUAAGGCAGAUUUUAUAAUUUAAAUGAUAAAAAGAUUAGAAGAUUUUCUAGCGAUGUUUUUACCUGAUGGAAUUCAAUAUAUAAACUCUUUAAAAAAUAUUUCGAAUAUAAAUAGUUAUUAUAUAUUUUUAUUACAAAUAAUAUUAUGAAAGUUCGCUUAUAUUUGCAACAUUGGAAUGUGUGGGAUAAAAUUUUAAAGAUUUUAAAACUGUUUAAUAAUGUAAUAUAUACUUUUACUGGUGUUUAUUAUCUUACUAUGCAUAUUUUUUUGGUUGUUUGCAUUAAUAUGCUUGGUGAAUUAUAAGAACAUCAAUAUGAUAAUAAUUUAAAUAUGACAAUAGUGAUUAUAAAAUUAAAAAGGAUAAAUUAUUUUUUAAUUCUAUCGAUUUAUUUAAUUACAUAUUUAAUUACAUUUGACUUUAGUAAUUAUUCAAUUAUUUAACCAUUUAUUAUGAAAUUUAGCGGUAAAUGAUAUUGGUCAUAAAAUAAGAGAUAUUAAAAAAUUUAUUGUUAACUUAUAUAACUAUUAUAGUGCUAACUAUAGUAGACAACAUGGUACCUUUCUAACUAUAGUAGACAAAUUAUUUUUAAAUAAAAUAAUAAAAAAAAAUUAUUGGUUCAAACUUGAAUCGAAAUGGAUCAAACCGAAACCAAUUCUUGCCGAUUCGAUUUUUAUUCCAAAUUUUGAAUUGACAAUUUUUGAAAUGGAUGAUUCUGAAAUGGUGACUAAGUCUUAAAUAUAACUUAUAUUUAAAUCAUCAAAUUUUAUAUUUGCUGGUUUAGUUUGUGAAUUGAAGGACAAUGUAUUUGUAACAGUAGAAAGAGAUUUGAAUGCUUUAAAUUUGACUAUAUAUAUGUUUUCUUACACAGAGCAUAAAGAGUUCGGAUAUUUUAUGGCUAUUGUUAUUAGUGUGAUUGUUUGCACUUAUUGGAUUUAUUGGCAAAUUCUUACUGAUUUAGAUUAUGCCAGUGAAGAUUCUCACUGAUUUAGAUUAUGGCUUUAUUGAGAGAAAGUUCUUUACUACAGCUGAAGCCACUGAAGUCAAUGAGAGCCCGAUGAGUGGGCCGGGCGAGAGAGUUCAACCGGGUGCAGCCCAGGAGCCCGCCUGAUUCAGGUUGUGUCGAACCCCCGAGUCAAAUCAAUUUGAGGCAAUGGUUCGAUUGAACCAGAUGAGAACGGCGUCCUCAAAAUUCGCACCCGUGCCCUAAAUGCAGCGGUGAAACUGUCUCCUUAUUCACAGCCACUGCAACUGCGGCGUGUACCUUGGCGAUAGCCGGCGGCGGCGGCGGCGGCGGCAUCUUCCUCCGUCGAGCUCUUAUCGCUGCGGCGUUUUCCUCGGCGAACGGUGGAUGCUGAGGCUUCCUCUCCGUCAGCGAACGGUACAGCGCCCGGUAUCUCUCUCUUACUCCUCCUCCUCCUCCUUCGCCGUCACACAAUCCCUUCUCCUCCCUCUUCCCCCCUUUCGUCGCAGCUCUCCCGAUUCCCCGACACCAUCCUCCUCCUCCCUUCUCCCCCCUCCUCCCUCUUUCACCCGUUCAUCGCAGCCCCCCGCCCCUCUUCCCCGAUCCCUCCCCCUCCUCCACUUCAUCACAGUCCCCGNNNNNNNNNNNNNNNNNNNNNNNNNNNNNNNNNNNNNNNNNNNNNNNNNNNNNNNNNNNNNNNNNNNNNNNNNNNNNNNNNNNNNNNNNNNNNNNNNNNNNNNNNNNNNNNNNNNNNNNNNNNNNNNNNNNNNNNNNNNNNNNNNNNNNNNNNNNNNNNNNNNNNNNNNNNNNNNNNNNNNNNNNNNNNNNNNNNNNNNNNNNNNNNNNNNNNNNNNNNNNNNNNNNNNNNNNNNNNNNNNNNNNNNNNNNNNNNNNNNNNNNNNNNNNNNNNNNNNNNNNNNNNNNNNNNNNNNNNNNNNNNNNNNNNNNNNNNNNNNNNNNNNNNNNNNNNNNNNNNNNNNNNNNNNNNNNNNNNNNNNNNNNNNNNNNNNNNNNNNNNNNNNNNNNNNNNNNNNNNNNNNNNNNNNNNNNNNNNNNNNNNNNNNNNNNNNNNNNNNNNNNNNNNNNNNNNNNNNNNNNNNNNNNNNNNNNNNNNNNNNNNNNNNNNNNNNNNNNNNNNNNNNNNNNNNNNNNNNNNNNNNNNNNNNNNNNNNNNNNNNNNNNNNNNNNNNNNNNNNNNNNNNNNNNNNNNNNNNNNNNNNNNNNNNNNNNNNNNNNNNNNNNNNNNNNNNNNNNNNNNNNNNNNNNNNNNNNNNNNNNNNNNNNNNNNNNNNNNNNNNNNNNNNNNNNNNNNNNNNNNNNNNNNNNNNNNNNNNNNNNNNNNNNNNNNNNNNNNNNNNNNNNNNNNNNNNNNNNNNNNNNNNNNNNNNNNNNNNNNNNNNNNNNNNNNNNNNNNNNNNNNNNNNNNNNNNNNNNNNNNNNNNNNNNNNNNNNNNNNNNNNNNNNNNNNNNNNNNNNNNNNNNNNNNNNNNNNNNNNNNNNNNNNNNNNNNNNNNNNNNNNNNNNNNNNNNNNNNNNNNNNNNNNNNNNNNNNNNNNNNNNNNNNNNNNNNNNNNNNNNNNNNNNNNNNNNNNNNNNNNNNNNNNNNNNNNNNNNNNNNNNNNNNNNNNNNNNNNNNNNNNNNNNNNNNNNNNNNNNNNNNNNNNNNNNNNNNNNNNNNNNNNNNNNNNNNNNNNNNNNNNNNNNNNNNNNNNNNNNNNNNNNNNNNNNNNNNNNNNNNNNNNNNNNNNNNNNNNNNNNNNNNNNNNNNNNNNNNNNNNNNNNNNNNNNNNNNNNNNNNNNNNNNNNNNNNNNCUCUCUUACUCCUCCUCCUCCUCCUUCGCCGUCACACAAUCCCUUCUCCUCCCUCUUCCCCCUUUCGUCGCAGCUCUCCCGAUUCCCCGACACCAUCCUCCUCCUCCCUUCUCCCCCCUCCUCCCUCUUUCACCCGUUCAUCGCAGCCCCCGCCCCUCUUCCCCGAUCCCUCCCCCUCCUCCACUUCAUCACAGUCCCCGCCCCCCGUUUUCCUACUCCGAUACCAACGGUCCCGUCUCAGUUUUCCUACUCCGGACCCGACAGCCCCCUCUCCAUUAUCUUGCUCCGGACCCGACAGCCCCCGUCUCCCUCCUCUACACCCCUCUUCGCCCUCUCUAUACAUCUUCCCGUCCCCUUUCCUUCUCCCUGAUAGUUACCCGCUACCCUCCCAACAAGUAGUCAGCAGCAUGUCUUGAGCAUUUACUUUAAAGAAAUAGCAAGUCACAGUAUGCAAGUUAAAUACUGUUGUUGAGAUAGAAAGCAGGAGAAGUGCUGCUUUUAUAAAGAGCAAAGGGAAUUGGGGAGUCUUUGAGAAAAAUAAAAAAACACGGAAAAGAUAGAACAAGAGAUAGCAGAGACAAUAAUUGGGUCACUGUCCAAUGAAAAUCAUAAUUAUUUGUCAAUAGAAUCAUGCACAAGUCUGACUAUUCCCCAUGUGAAGCAUUUUAAUUAAAAAUAUACCUAAGAUAAUACUAAUCUGACUAGGUUUCCCAAAAGAAGCUCUCUCAACAGAAACUGCUUAUUUUGAUGAAGCGUUUGGUUCAUCAAACCUCUUAGUUUUCUUAUUAUGUUUACUGCAUUGCAGUUUCCUUUUCAAGCACAUCAGAAAAUUUCCACACAAAACCCCAAAUGAUACAAAGGAAUCGACUCAAUAUAAAGGACAAGUUGAGUCAACAACUAGAAUUUGACUUGAUUUCCAAACCCGAAAAUAGACCCAAAAUCUCAAUGUAUUUGGUUAGGUAUAACCUUACACCUUUACGUCAGCAUAGUGUGUUCUCUGCUGUAGUGCUGAAAGCAACUAUCUUUGCUCCUUGAGGCUAGUUCGUACCUCAAAACACACAGGCCUGCUUAUAUUUGGAUUAUCAAAUCUUGUAUUUGCUGGUUUAGUUGGUGAUUUGAAGGAGAUUUUGCAGGUGACAAUAGCAAGAGAUAUUAAUGCUCAUAAUUUAACUACAGAUAUUUUCUUAUACAGAGUUCAAUGAUGCAAAACAUCCAUAUGGAUGAUCAUGAAUUGUUUGAACAUCAUGGCUUUUGUUAUUAUUUUGGUCGUUUGCACAUGCUGGUUUUAUUGUCUAAUUCUCACUGAUAUAGGCUUUUUUUUUCUUCAUUAAUGAUAUGUAGCUGUGGCAACAUAUAAUUUAUUUUACUGUAGUUGAAGUUAUUUACAUGAUCAGUCUUUCUCAUAAAUUAAGUUCCUUUAUCAGCAAAGAACCAAAUAAACUAGUAGCAUUUCUUGAUUGAGGCAGUUUUCUUAUCUCUUUAUUCAUUUUUCAGAAUAUUUAUUGCCUUUCUCUGGUCUUCCAGAUAUGUUGUUUUUUUUUUGUCAAGUUGCUCAUCAUCAUCAACAAUGCCCUUUUUAGCAUGUUGAACCUUACAAAUUACUGUUGUUAAUUAAUUAAACAGUGUCUUUUCUACUUACGAGUCUUGCUAGACUUUUAACUAGAUCAUCUCUUUACAUUCUUGAUGAAAUGGAUCAAUUACUCUGGAAGUGCUCAUUUGAAAUGUUUCAGAUUUUAGUUGUAGGACAUUAGUGAAUUUGAUGUUAGAGAAAACAUUAUGCAUCUUCCAGUUAUUCUGAAUUCUGUAGUACCAUUUGCAAGUCAUUGAUGUUCAACCUAUAAGUAUAAACAUGAGUAUCGUCUGUAUACGAUCAACAUUGUAAAUGCCUAUGCCACUCUUAUGCAACAUAUUUGAUGAAUUUGAUAUAGUUUUUAAUUUGCUACAGGGAUAUAGGAUGCUUGGUAGUGUCUAAACCCACCAACUACAAUAUAAAAAUAAGUGGAAGAUAGUGUCUGUGCUCUGGUGUUAUAUGAUGCCAGUAUUUCAGUGGUGGAGAAUUGCUCGGAUGUGAGCAUUAGAAUGAGUAACGAAUUAUAGGUACUCGUUAUCAACUCUCAAACACCAUUUAGAGACUUAUCUCUGGAAGAAAUGGCUGAUUGGAGCUGAAUGCAUGUGGAUUAACACGAGUGGUAUAGGAAUGUUGUCUGAGACAGAUGAUUAGUAGAAAGUUUUCAACGUCCUUGAUUUGAGUUAGAAGAGGAAUUUGGACUUGGAGAGGGCAGAAUUAAGACUACUUUUCUUGUAUUUUUCUGCAAACAGUACAUGAUACUGCCUCAAAAGACAAUGUUUUUGGUGCAGAAGAGGCUCUUUUGCCUUCUCUCGUGUAACAAGUCCACCGUCCAUGUUUCCUCCUAUCAACUCUGCAGUCUGUUUAGCUUUACCACUGCCGAAGAGCACAGUUUAAAUCAUGGAUCCAACUUUACGUUGGUCGACCCCCUUGAGUCAUGUGAACUUUCCUCAAAAGAGGCUGCAAAAAGGGCCAAGGAUCGCAUCUGUGACAAAGAACUUUCAAGUUCAAGUCCUUCCAUUGAGUUCUUCAAGCAGAGCGGUUGGAGUGAUCCACUAGUCAUGAAGCUUUUGCAGAGGGAACCCAGGCUUCUACGUGCUAACGUAGAGACUAUCCUGAAGCCCAGGAUGAGAUCUUUGCAGGACAUGGGAUUUUCUGACACCGAAAUAGUUCAGCUGGUUUCAUCAUGUCCGUGUCUGCUCUAUUUACGUGAUAUCCAACCAAGGAUCAACUUCUGGAGGUCACUUCUUGGUUCUAAUGAGAGGUUAAUUAAAGCCAGCAGGGGGAACAUGUUUCUCCUUACUUCUAGCGUGGCUCAAAAGAUUGAGCCCAAUAUAUCUCUCUUGAGGGAACGUGGCAUCAGUGAGCAAUGCAUCACGCAGAUGUUGGUGGCAGUACCGAGUUUUUUUUGUCGAAUGAACAAAUAUAUCGACGAAUCUAUCAAACGUGUUGAAGAGUUGGGAGUGUCACGUGACUCUAAAAUGUUCCCUCAUGCACUUUUAACAGUCAUGACCUUGAGCAGGUCCAGGUUUGAUGCUACCUUUGCAACCUUGAUGAGCUUUGGGUGGUCCCAACCAGACAGCCUUGCUACAUUCAGGAGGUAUCCAUUCAUUUGGAAUUACUCAAAGAAGAACUUAUCUGACAAGAUGACAUUCCUGAUGAAGGAAGCUGGUUGUGAGCUGACAUAUAUCAUUGGCCAUCCCACGCUUCUUACAUUUAGCUUGGAGAAGAGGUUGAGACCUCGAUGUGAAGUUAUGAAUUUUCUUGAUCAUAAUAAAUUGCUGGAUAAAGGACAUGACCUGCUAUCUGUCAUGCUGCUAAGCGAAGAGAAGUUCAGAAACAAAUUCCUUUUCCUGCUACGCAAGGAGAAAUUUAUUGCUCAAUAUGAUUCCUAUGUUGUUGCUGUGCACGGAAAGCAUGACGUUAUUGCCGAAAACUAGGAUUGCAAGUGCUUCCUUAAGACAAAGUGUCGACCUAUUGCAUGCUGACUGCAAAUUAAUCAUUUUACAUUUGUGACAAUUUAAAAUUCUCCUUGAGUUUCUUGGAGUAUAACUUCCCUGUUGAUUUGGUGAUUGUUCUUCUAUUUAUGUUUUCUACAACAAAAGGUACUCAUUCUUUUAUGCUGAUGUCUCAGAAAUUGGUAUGGGGGAAAGUCAAUUACUUAAGAAAGAUAACCAAAAUAUCAAGCUUUUGUGUUCUGUUUCUAUCAUAUUUACCUGAUUCCGCCAGCCAUAUUGAUAACUGUGCUGUCAUUUAGAUGAUUGUGAUCUAAUUUAAUAAGGAUACCUUCCUUUUGAAUGGGGACAUCUCAAAGAAUUAUGUAAGAGCCGCUUGGACAGAAAAUACUUCAAAGGCAACCACAGAUGUGGAUAUGACUAACAUUUUUGUUGUAGUCAUAUACACACUCGCUCAUUAAAUAAUUAAGUCCAGUUUAACCGUUUAAUUGAACGCAUUAAACAAACGAUCUAUAUUAAGUUUGAUACACAUCUGUAUUGUUAUAUAAUUAGAUUAUGUGUUUUACUUUGCUUGUGCGAUCUAAUAGACCCAACAUGGCUCCCGUUUAAUUGUGUGUUUCAUUUUUUUCUUAUAAUGUUGUAUUAUCAUUUUGGUGUCUUCAACAUAAGGAAUAGUAUCAUUAUUUUUUUAGUGAUAUGUUUAGUUACUAAAAUUUUAACUUAAUAAAUAAUUCUAAGAGGAAAGACUUAGAAAAGUGAACAAAAUAUAUUGUUGGAUGGUUGUUGGGGAACUAUUGAUUAUAAAUCAGUAAUGAUGUUAUGAUGUUAAAGAGUGUAAAAUUAUUUUUAAAAAUUCUGAAAAGACAUAAAAGAUAUGUAUUUGUAAGAUUUUGGAUAAUAAAAAAAUACAAAUGGAGUUUACAUUUUUCAGCAAUAGUUUUUGAACCAAACAAGUUUCAAAAAAUUUACUGCUUAUGUCCUCAUUUAUUUUUCAAUAUAUUCCCUAUUAUGCAUUAAUAGACCUAGUUGAAUAGAUGAUAAUGCUAUAAAUCAGAUACUCCUCAUGAUUGAAAAAUUAGAAAAUAUCAAGAUUUUUGUAUUUAAGUUAUUCGGACUCAUUAAAACUCUACGACAACAUGUUUUUUUUAGUUAAUAAUUUAUUGAUAAGUCCCUUCCACAAGUCACUGACAAUCACUUCCUCAUAUGUUUAUUUCAUAAUAUAAUUAUUUAUUUUAAUUUUUUUAAAAAAUAAAUGGCUAACAUAAGAUUUCAUCACGUGAGGAUAUUGAGUUCAUUAAAAAAGGUCUUCUUCUUCGUGGCCCCUUUAGCAAGAAACUUUCAAUUAGGAAGAUCCGUGAAAACAACAAACAAUAACCUUUAGUACUUUGAAUAAGUAUCUUAUUAAAUUAUUUCUCGAGCACUCUACAUUUACAUGUUUGAUCGGACCAAUUAAGUUGCAAUAUUAUCGACUACUUCUGUCUUUUUUUUUUUUCGUUAGGCCUUGAUAAAAAUCAUAUAUAUUUCUGUAAAGUCGAUAAAGUUAUCAUCUAAGUAAGAUACUUGAAACUAGUUAUGACAUACUACUAUUGGGAUGCAUCCGUAAAUUAUAACAGACUUCUCCAAAAUAGACCCAAAAUCUCAAUGUAUUUAGUUAAGUAUAACUAGUCCUAACUAAAUCACAACUGGUUUGUUGUGAUGGGUUUGAAUCACAACUAAAUCAAUGCAUUUAGUUAGGUAUAAAUAUGACUGGUUUGAAUUGAAUCAAACCAGAAUCGAUGGUUCGUUGAUUGCAAAUCAAAUCGUAAUCUACUAGGGGUUGUUUAAUUGAGGUUUCAAGGUUUGAAAAAUUAGAAUCAACGAUACCAUAAUUGAUUAUUCCGCUUCCUAUUUAAACCAUCGAUUUGAUGGUGUUUUAUAUAGAUAAAAACCUUGAUCAAAUAGGUUGUAGAUAGAUAAUUUGGCUUAAACGAUUGGGCCCAAUAGUAUGUGCAUGGACUAUAUUUAGGGGUACUUUAGUUAUUUUAUAAUUAAAAAUAUUAAAAAUUAGAAAACAAAUUAGUCCUUCCAAUAAGCAAAUAAUAGCUAGUUAUGAAGAUAUUUUAAGAAAAAAUUAAAACCCUAUAGAUACCCCAAAAAUCUUUUAUUGUUUCUCGCAUCAUCGAUUAAGUACUUGUUGAAGUUUGAACGCUUUGAUGCUUUUUUCUUAAUCUGAUGGCAAGUGGAAGCUAUCACUUCACCACAGAGGAGGCUUUUGAAAAUCUGAUCUUGAUAAUUCAAGAAAGCCAACAUAUCAAUGUUGAUGUUAAGAUGUUGAUAGAUGACUUUUAAAAAUAUAGAAGAAAGAAGAUAUGAUGACCAAACUCAAGUUAGACAUCUUCAAGUUAUACUUUAAAAACAUCUGAAACACUGAUAGCUCCUUCCAUAUUGUAAUUAUUGAGACUAAAUUUUUAAAUACAAAGAGGGAAGAAGAUAUAGAAUAUUUUGAAAGUAUAUCAAGAAGAAACAUCCAUUACAAGUUGGUACGAUUAUACCAGUGAAGAUUCUCAAUAAAAAGUUAAUUUUUCUUCAUUAAUGAUUGGUUGCAUAAAGUUCUUUACUAUACUAUAGCAGAAGCGAUUGACGACACCGGGCGCCCGAUAAGUGGGCCGGGCGGAUGAGUUCGACCGGGUGCGGCCCAGGCGCCGCAUGAUUUGGCUGUGUCGAGCCUUAGUCAAGUCUAUUUGGAACUAAGGUUCGAUUGAACCAGAUGAGAACGGCAUCCUCAAAGUCGCACCCGUGCCCUAAAUGCCGCGGUGAAACUGUCUCCUCCUCUACAGCGACCACGACUGCGGCGUUUUCCACGGAGAACGGUGCAUGCUGCGGCUUCCUCUCCGUCGGCGAACGGUGACAGCGCCCGGUAUCUCUCUCUUACUCCUCCUCUUCCUCCUUCGCCGUUAGUUAUAUGUGCUUUCCCUGCACAUCAUCAACAGUGGCUUCUUUAGCAUGUUGAACCUCACAAAUUACUGUUGUUAAUUUCUUAAACAGUGUGUUUUCUAAUUACCAGUCUUGUUAGACCUAUAACAAAAUCAUCUCUUUACAUUCUUGUUGAAAAGGAUCAAUUAUUCUGGAAGUGCUCAUUUGAACUGUUACAGGUUUUAGUUGUAGGACAUUAGUGAAUCUGAUGUUAGACAAAACAUUAUGCAUCUUCCACCUAAUCUUAGUGCUGAAGUACCCAUUGCAAGUCAUCGACUGAUGUUCAACCUAUUAGUACAAAGUUGAAAAUCAUCUGUAUACAAUCAACAUAGUAAAUGCCAUUGUCACUCUUAUGCUGCAUAUUUGAUGAAAAUACAUUUGAUAUAAUUUUUCAAUAUCUGCAUGGAUAUAGUGUGCUUCACAGUUUCUAAAGCUACUACCUACAAUAGAUAAAUAGCGGAAGGUAGUGUCAGUGUGCAUGUGUCAUAUCAAGACAUUAUUUCAGUGGUGGUUAAUACCUUGGAUGUGAGCAUGGUAAUAAGUAAAUGAUCAAUGGUACCCGUAAUCAACAUUCAAACACCAUUUAGAGGCUUACAUCUGAAAGAAAUGGUUAAUGGGAACUGAAUGCAGGUGGAUUUACGUGAGUGGUAGGGGAAUGUUAUCCGAUACAGAUGAUUAGUUGGAAGCUUUCAACUUCCUUUUGGUUGGAAGCAGACACAGAAAAUAUAUUUAGUUCAGCAAUAAAACUACUUGUGUUUUUCUGCAAAUAGUGUGUGAUACUGCUUCAAAAUAUAAUGUUUUUGGUGCAAAAGAGGCUCUUUUGCAUUCUCCCAUUUAACAAGUCCACCAUCCAUGUUUCUUCCUAUGAACUCUUCAGUCUGCUUAGCUUUUCCACCGCCAAAGACCAAAUUUCAGAUCAUAAAUCCUACUUUACAGUGGCCAACCCCCUUCAAUCAUGUGAACUUUCCUCGGAAACGGCUGCAAAAACAGCCAAGUUCCUCACCUGUCACACAAAAUCUUCAAGUUCAAGUCUUUCCAUUGAGUUCUUUAAGCAGAGCGGUUGGAGUGAUGCACGAGUCUUGAAGCUUACCCAGAGGGAACCCAGGUUCCUAUGUGCUGACAUAGAGACUGCCAUGAAGCCCAAGUUGAGAUCUUUGUAGGACAUGGGAUUUUCUGACACUGAAAUAGUUCAGCUGGUUUCAUCAUGUCCGACUAUGCUCCUUCUACAUGACAUCAAACAGAGGAUCAACUUCUGGAGGUCACUUCUUGGUUCUAAUGAGAGGUUAAUUAAAGCCAGCCGGAGGAACAUGUUUCUCUUUACUUCUAGCUUGGCUCGAAAGAUUGAGCCCAAUGUAUCUCUCUCGAGGGAAUGUGGCAUCAGUGAGCAACGCAUUGCGCAGAUGGUGGUGAGACUACCAAAUUUUUUAUGUCAAACAGAAAAAAUGUAUCAAGGAAGUUAUCAAAUAUGUUGAGGAGUUGGGUGUGUCACGUGGCUGUAAAAUGUUCCCUCGUGUACUAUUAGCAGUCAUGACCCUGAGCAGGUCCAGGUUUGACGCUACCUUUGCAACCCUGAUUAAUUAUGGGUGGUCCCAACCAGAUUGCGUUGCUGCAUUCAGGAAGUAUCCAUCCAUUUAGUGUUUGCCAAAGAAGACCUUAUGUGACUAGAUGACAUUCCAGAUGAAGGAAGCUGGUUGUGAGUUGACAUAUAUCAUUUGCCGUCCUAUAACGAUUUUAGCUAGAAUUGCCUAAGACAUAAGGUACCUUUGCGUCAAAGACACGAACUUAGCUUGCGUUGUCUAUGUCGCGCUUCGUCCUUACGAUUUACGUUCGCAAAGAUUAGCCCACUUGCAACCUCUCGCAGGUCUCGAAACAUCUGUAAAAGAGAAAGUUGAUUAGUUUAAAGAACGAGCGACGGACAAGUCCCGACGUCUCGCGAAAAAGAGAAGCUUUACAAGUAAUUCAGCGAGCAACUUGUAUGCACAAGAGAAAAGAGGGAGAGGGGGAAAACAAGGAUUUUAGAAGGUUGAACGAACAGUUGUAAGUCCGCAAACAGUUGCUCACCCGACACUAUACCGAGGUCUCAUUCAGCCUUGUGCCACCCAGGUGGUUCUAGGGUGCUGAGAUGGCUAACGUUUCACGUGCAGCAGCGGGCUGCAGAAAUCAGCCUGUGGCAUGGGAAAACAGAGCCUUUUUGGGGUCGUUUUGCUUGGUUCGGCGAGUGGUCACACCGUAGCGUUAUAACUUAUUCGAACUUACAUUUUUACAAACAAAAAGACUUAAAACUAAGCCAAAACAUGUUGCCAAGCAAUUAUACAUGUAGACGAGAACGACGAAUGAUUCGGUGAACGGAGUUGUUCAAGGUGCGCAACGACCAUUCAUAACAUUCUCCCCCACUCAAAUUGUCGAUGCCCUCGUCGACGCUUGUUGAUAGUUGUUGAUGAUUGCUUCUUCAUGUCAUAGGGUGUCUUCAGGCUCCCAACUAGCUUCAGAUCGGGGAAGCUUUCGCCACUUCACCAAGUACACGGUCUGCUCAGCUCUAGUGGGUAGCUUUAUCUUGCGAUCUGCUAGAAUGGUUUCAACUCGCUUUUCGUAGGAGGCUGUGGUGGGGGGUAGCCAAGUUGGAACACUUCGGGAAGCAUCUUGCGGAUCCGAGUGGUAGGCUUUCAAGUUGCUGGCGUGAAGAAUAUUGUGAAUGUUGAACCACGUCGGCAGCUGCAACUUGUAGGAGACAUUAUCCACCCUACUGAUAAUUGGGAAGGGCCCUUCAUACUUGCGCACCAAUCCUUUAUGUAUUUUGUUUCUAAAGAAUUAGAGUGAUGCUGGUUGGAGCUUGACCAACACCAAAUCGUCGAUCUUGAACUCUUACGGUCGCCUACCAAAGUUUGCCCACUUCAUUCUUUUUGCUGUCUUCUCCAAGUAAGUCCACACAAUAUCUACAUUUCGGUGUCACUCCCUUGCAAAGUGGUAGGCUGAUGGAUUACUCCCAGUAUAUCCAAUUACUUUAGUGUGAGGAGUUGACGGUUGUUACCCUGUAAUAAUCUCGAAAGGGCUCUUGUUGGAUGCAGAGCUUCGCUUCAAGUUAUAGGAGAAUUGGGCAAUGUCCAAUAACUUCAUCCAAUCUUGUUGGUUGGCACUCACGUAGUGCCGAAGAAUAUUGCUGUAGGAGAUGAAAGCCACUGUCUCGACAAUCUUAGACUUGUUCUUCGAAUCAAAAUACAAUGCGUUGCCAAUAUUUAGAUGAUCAAAUCUUAUAUUUGCUGGUUUAGUUUGAAGGAGAAUAUAAUACUGGUAACAAUAGAAAGAGAUUUUAAUGCUUUGACUAAAUAUGUUUUCUUACGCAAGCAUAAAUAGUUCGGAUAUUAUGGCUUUUUAUAUUAUUGUUAUUGGUUGCACUUGUUGGAUUUAUUGGCAAAUUCUCACUGAUUUAGAUUAAUAGCUGAAGCAAUUGAAGUCACCGAGCGCCCGAUAAGUGGGCCGGGGGUGCGAGUUCAACCGGGUGCGGCCCAGGCGCCCGUCUGAUUAAGGCUGGGUCUAGCCCAAGUCAAGUCAAUUUGGAUCUCUGGUUCGAUUGAACCAGAUGAGAACGGCAUCCACAAAUUCGCACCCGUGCCCUAAAUGCAGCGGUGAAACUGUCUCCUUCUCCACAGCGACCGCGACUGCGGCGUUUUCCUUGGCGAAAGGCGGCAGCUGCGGUGGCAUCUUCCUACGUCGAGCUCUUAUCGCUGCGGCGUUUUCCUCGGCAAACGGUGGAUGCUGCGGUUUCCUCUCCGUCGGCGAACGGUGAUAGCGCCCGGUAUCUCUCUCUUACACAUCCUCCUCCUCCUCUUCCUCCUUCUCCGUCGCAAAAUCCCUUCCCCUCUCUCUUUCCCCGUUCAUCGCAGCCCACCGCCGCCCCGGCCUCAUCGCUGCCCCCUUUCCCCAAUCCCUCCUUCCUCUUCCCCUUUCGCCACAGCUCUCCCUCUUCCCCGACACCGUCCCACGACUCCAUAUGUAGCUGACGCUACAUAUAAUUUUUUUAGUGUAGUUUAAGUUAUUUACAUGAGGAAUCUUUCUCAUAAAUUAAGUUCCUUUAUCAGCAUAGAACCAAAUAAACUAGUAGCAUUUCUUGAUUGAGGCAGUUUUCUUAUCCCUUUAUUCAUUUUUCAGAAAAUUUAUUGCCUUUCUCUGGCCUUCCAGCUAUGUUGUUUUUUUUUGGUCAAGUUGCUCAUCAUCAUCAACAAUGCCCUUUUUAGCAUGUUGAACCUCACAAAUUACCCUUGUUAAUUAAUUAAACAGUGUCUUUUCUGCUUACCAGUCUUGCUAGACUUUUAACUAGAUCAUCUCUUUACAUUCUUAAUGAAAUGGAUCAAUUACUCCCCAAUGUUUCAGAUUUUAGUUGUAGGACAUUAGUGAAAUCGAUGUUAGAAAAAACAUUAUGCAUCUUCCAGUUAUUCUGAAUUCUGUAGUACCAUUUGCAAGUCAUUGAUGUUCAACCUAUAAGUAUAAACAUGAGUAUCGUCUGUAUACGAUCGACAUUGUAAAUGCCUAUGCCACUCUUAUGCAGCAUAUUUGAUGAAGACACAUUUGAUAUGGUUUUUAAAUUGCUACAGGGAUAUCUGAUGCUUGGUAGUGUCUAAACCCACCAACUACAAUAUAAAAAUAAGUGGAAGAUAGUGUCUGUGCGCUGGUGUUAUAUGAUGCCAUUAUUUCAGUGGUGGAGAAUUGCCCGGUUGUGAGCAUUAGAAUGAGUAACUAAUUAUAGGUACUUGUUAUCAACUCUCAAACACCAUUUAGAGACUUAUCUCUGGCAGAAAUGGCUGAUUGGAACUGAAUGCAUGUGGAUUAACACGAGUGGUAUAGGAAUGUUGUCUGAGACAGAUGAUUAGUAGAAAGUUUUCAACAUCCUUGAUUUGAGGUAGAAGAGGAAUUUGGACUUGGAGAGGGCAGAUUAAGACUACUUUUCUUGUAUUUUUCUGCAAACAGUACGUGAUACUGCCUCGAAAGACAAUGUUUUUGGUGCAGAAAAGGCUCUUUUGCCUUCUCUCAUGUAACAAGUCCACCAUCCAUGUUUCCUCCUAUCAACUCUGCAGUCUGUUUAGAUUUUCCACUGCCGAAGAGCACAGUUCAAAUCAUGGAUCAAACUUUACGUUGGUCGACCCCCUUGAGUCAUGUGAACUUUCCUCAAAAGAGGCUGCAAAAAGGGCCAAGGAUCGCAUCUGUGAAAAAGAACUUACAAGUUCAAGUCCUUCCAUUGAGUUCUUCAAGCAGAGCGGUUGGAGUGAUGCACUAGUCAUGAAGCUUUUGCAGAGGGAACCCAGGUUGUUGCUCGCUAAUGUAGAGACUGCCCUGAAGCCCAGGAUGAGAUCCUUGCAGGACAUGGGAUUUUCUGACACUGAAAUAAUUCAGCUGGUUUCAUCAUGUCCUACUCUGCUCCGUUUAAGUGAUAUCCAACCAAGGAUCAACUUCUGGAGGUCACUUCUUGGUUCUAAUGAGAGGUUAAUUAAAGCCAGCAGGAGGAACAUAUUUCUCCUUACUUCUAGCUUGGCUCAAAAGAUUGAGCCCAAUAUAUCUCUCUUGAGGGAAUGUGGCAUCAGUGAGCAAUGCAUCACGCAGAUGCUGGUGGUAGUACCGAGUUUUUUUUGUCGAAAGAACAAUUGUGUCAAUGAAUCUAUCAAACGUGUUGAGGAGUUUGGUGUGUCACGUGACAGUAAAAUGUUCCCUCAGGUACUUUUAACAGUCAUGACCCUCAGCUGGUCCAGGUUUCAUGCUACUUUUGAAACCCUGAUGAGCUUUGGGUGGUCCCAACCAGACAGCAUUGCUGCAUUCAGUAGGUAUCCAGUCAUUUGGAAUUACUCAAAGAAGAACUUAUCUGACAAGAUGACAUUCCUGAUGAAGGAAGCUGGUUGUGAGCUGACAUAUAUCGUUGGUCAUCCCAUGCUUCUUACAUAUAGCUUGGAGAAGAGGUUGAGACCUCGAUAUGAAGUUAUGAAUUUUCUUGAUCAGAAUAAAUUGCUGGAUAAAGGACAUGACCUGCUAUCUGUCAUCCUGCUAUCUGAAGAGAAGUUCAGAAACAAAUUCCUUUUCCUGCUACGCAAGGAGAAAUUUAUUGCUCAAUAUGAUUCCUAUGUUGUUGCUGUGCGGGGAAAGCACUACGUUGUUGUGGAAAACUAGGAUUGCAAGUGCUUCCUUAAGACAAAGUGUCGACCUAUUGCAUGCUGACUGCAAAUUAAUCAUUUUACAUUUGUGACAAUUUAAAAUUCUCCUUGAGUUUCUUGGAGUAUAACUUCCCUGUUGAUUUGGUGAUUGUUCUUCUAUUUAUGUUUUCUACAACAAAUGGUACUCAUUCUUUUAUGCUGAUGUCUCAGAAAUUGGUGUGGGGGAAAGUCAAUUACUUAAGAAAGGUAACCAAAAUAUCAAGCUUUUGUUUUCUGUUUCUAUCAUAUUUACCUGAUUCUGGCAGCCAUAUUGAUUACUGUGCUGUCAUUUAGAUGAUUGUGAUCUAAUUUAAUAAGGAUACCUUCCUUUUGAAUGGGGACAUCUCAAAGAAUUAUGUAAGAGCCGCUUGGACGGAAAAUACUUCAAAGGCAACCACAGAUGUGGAUAUGACUAACAUUUUUGUUGUAGUCAUAUACACACUCGCUCAUUAAAUAAUUAAGUCCAGUUUAACCGUUUAAUUGAACGCAUUAAACAACCUAUCUAUAUUAAGUUUGAUACACAUCUGUAUUGUUAUAUAAUUAGAUUGUGUGUUUUACUUUGCUUGUGCGAUCUAAUAGACCCAACAUUGCUCCCGUUUAAUUGUGUGUUUCAUUUUUUUCUUAUAAUGUUGUAUUAUCAUUUUGGUGUCUUCAACAUAAGGAAUAGUAUCAUUAUUUUUUUAGUGAUAUGUUUAGUUACUAAAACUUUAACUUAAUAAAAAUUUCUAAGAGGAAAGACUCAGAAAAGUGAACAAAAUAUAUUGUUGGAUGGUUGUGGGGGAACUAUUGAUUAUAAAUCAGUAAUGAUGUUAUGAUGUUGAAGAGUGUAAACUUCUUUUUAAAAAUUAUGAAAAGACAUAAAAGAUAUGCAUUUGUAAGAUUUUGGAUAAUAAAAAAAUACAAAUGAAGUUUACAUUUUUCAGCAAUAGUUUUUGAACCAAACAAUAACCUUUAGUACUUUGAAUAAUUAUCUUAUUGAAUUGUUUCUCAAACACUAUGUACUUCUAUGUUUUUUAUCAUGGGAAUGACCUAUUAAGUUGUAACAUCAUUAACUAUUUUUGUUUUUUUUCUUUUUCAUUAGGUCUCAAUAAAAUUCAUCUAUAUUUUUAUAAGGUCGAUAAAAUCAUCAUCUAAGUAAGAUACUUGAAACGGAUUAUAUAAACUACUCCUGUUGGGAUGCAUAUGUAAGUUAUGACAUACUACUCCAAAAUAGACCCAAAAUCUCAAUGCAUUUAGUUAACUAUAACUAGUCCUAACUAAAUCACAACUGAUUUGUUCUGACGGGUUUGAAUCACAACUGAAUCAAUGCAUUUAGUUAGGUAUAAAUAUGACUGGUUUGAAUUGAAUCAAACAGGUUCGUUGAUUGCAAAUCAAAUCGUAAUCUACCAGGGGUAAUUUAAUUGAGGUUCCUAGGUUUGAAAAAUUAAAAUCAAUGAUCCCAUAAUUGAUUAUUCCGCUUCCUAUUUAAACCAUCGAUUUGAUGGUGUUUUAUAUAGAUAAAAAACCCCAAUCAAAUAGGUUAUAGAUGGAUAAUUGGGCUUAAACAAUUGGGCCCAAUAGUAUGUGCUUGGACCAACAAUCGAAUGAAUGUCAAAUUGGCUAUAUUUAUGGGUACUUUAGUUAUUUUAUAAUUAAAAAUAUUAAAAUUAGAAAAUAAAUUAGUCAUUCCAAUAAGCAAAUAAUAGCUAGUUAUGAAGAUAUUUUAAGAAAAUAAAAAUAAAAACCCUAUAGAUACCCCCAAAAAAUCUUUUAUUGUUUCUCAGAUUAAGUAUUUGUUGAAGUUUGAAUGAUUUGAUGCUCUUUUCUUAAUCCGAUAGCAAGUGGAAGCUAUCACUUCACCAUUGAGGAGGCUUUUGGAUCAUGUGAAACAUUAGCUAUAUUUAUUUUUGUUAAAUAUUUAUUUAUAUCUACAAUGGAAUGUCUGUGAAAUAGUUUUAAAAAUUUUAAAAGUUUUUAGAAUGGUAACAUAUAGUUUGACUAGUGUUUAUAUGUUACUGUAAAUUUUUUUUCUUAGUUGUUUGCAUUGAUAUAGUUGGUGCAUUAUAAGAAUAUCAAUACGAUAAUAAUUUAAAUUUGAUAAUAAUGGCUACAAAAUAAAAAAUAUAAAUUAUUAUUAUUAAAUUUAUUGAUUUAUUUAAUUAUAUGGGUUUUUAAUUUUGUAUAGAUUAAAUGACUUUUGUAAUUAUUUAACCGCUUAUUAUGAAAGUUUAGGAGUCGAUGAUAUUAGUGAUAAGAUUAAAGAUAUUAAAAAAUUAAUUAUUAACUUACAUAAUGUUAACUAUAGUAGACAACAUGAUACCUUUGAAACUUCUUGGAUCUAAGUUAGCAAAGGUAAUAAAAUUUGUAAGGGAGAAAAACUAUUAUUACAAAGACAAAAGCAUCGAAAGGAUCUUAAAGCUAAAACUUCAAGUUUAUUUUGUAUCUAAUAAUGUUUUUAAAGUUUGAUGAUAGCUCUAAGUAUAGAGUUUUCUAUUCUUGAAUAAUGGACAUGAUACAUAAAAACAUUUUUAGUUUUAAGGAUUAAUACUAGUACUUUAGUGUCCAUAGUAUCUGUGGAGUCAACCUUCAAUAUAAGAGGACGAGUUCUAUGUGAAACUAGAUUAAAUAUGACUCUCGAACCAAUUGAUGUUUAAGUAUGUAUUAAUAGAUAAAAGCGAUAAAAUAGAACCAAUACAAAGAUGUCCAAUAUUAAAAUUGAUUAAAUAUUUAUAAAUUUACAUAAAUUUGUAUUAACUUUUUUUAUUAUAUCCUAACACAUUAUACAUCCAUGUUUAAAUUAAAAAAAUUAUAAUUUUUAAAUAAAAAUAAUAAAAAAAAUAUCAGUUCAAACUAAAAUCAAAAUCGAUCAAACUGGAACUGAACCUUACCGGUUCGAUUUUUUAUUAUAAAUUUUGCCAAACUAGAAAUGAUAAUUCCGGAAUUGAAAUCAAUUUACUUAGACUAGAUAUAACCUUACUGAAAGCCACCCUCUCCAUAAUCUGAGACUUGUUCUUUAACUCAAAACACAAUGCCCUAUCAAUAUUAAGAUUAUCAAAUCUUAUAUUUGCUGGUUUAGUUAGUGAGUUGAAGGAGAAUAUAAUAAUAUGGUAACAAUAAAAAGAGAUUUGAAUGCUUUAAAUUUGACUACAUAUGUUUUCUUACACAGAGCAUAAAUAGUUUGGAUAUUAUGGCUUUUGUUAUUAUUGUUAUUGUUUGCACUUGUUGGAUUUGUUAGCAAAUUCUCACUGAUUUAGAUUAUGUCAGUGAAGAUUCUCACUGAUUUAGAUUAUGGUUUUAUUGAGAAAGUUCUUUACUACAGCUGAAGCCAUUGAUGUCACCGGCCGCCCGAUAAGUGGGCCGAGCGAGCGAGUUCAACCGGGUGCAGCCCAGGCGCCCACGUGAUUCAGAUUGCCUCAAGCCCGAGUCAAGUCAAUUUGGACAAAUGGUUCGAUUGAACCAGAUGAGAACGGCUUCCUCAAAAUUCCCACCCGUGCCCUAACUGCAGAGGUGAAACUGUCUCCUCCUAUACAGCGACCGCGAAUGCGGCGUUUUACUUGGCGAAAGGCGGCUGAAGCGGCGGCAUCUUCCUCCGUCGAGCUCUUAUCGCUGCGGCGUUUUCCUCGGAGAACGGUGGAUGCUGCGGCUUCCUCUCCGUCGGCGAAUGGUGACAGCGCCCGGUAUCUCUCUCUUACUCCUCCUCCUCUUCCUCCGUCGCCGUUAAUUAUAUGUGCUUUCCUCCGUCGCACAAUUCCUUCCCCUCUCUCUUCCCCCGUUCAUCGCAGCCCACGGCCGCCCCCGCCUCGUCGCUGCCCCCUUUCCCCAAUCCCUCCUUCCUCUUCCCCUUUCGCGACAGCUCUCCCGCUUCCCGCUUCCCGCUUCCCCGACACCGCCCCCAGACUCCAUAUGUAGCUGAUGCUACAUAUAAUUUUUUUUACUGUAGUUGAAGUUAUUUACAUGAGCAAUCUUUCUCAUAAAUUAAGUUCUUUUAUCAGCAUAGAACCAAAUAAACUAGUAGCAUUUCUUGAUUGAGGCAGUUUUCUUAGCUCUGUAUUCAUUUUUAAGAAAAUUUAUUGCCUUUCUCUGGUCUUCCAGCUAUGUUGUUUUUUUUUU
rnacentral:lncRNA from 1 species